UGCAGUCGAACGAUGAAGGGGAGCUUGCUUCCUGGAUUAGUGGCGAACGGGUGAGUAACACGUGAGCAACCUGCCCCUGACUCUGGGAUAAGCGCUGGAAACGGCGUCUAAUACUGGAUAUGUGACGUGACCGCAUGGUCUGCGUUUGGAAAGAUUUUUCGGUUGGGGAUGGGCUCGCGGCCUAUCAGCUUGUUGGUGAGGUAAUGGCUCACCAAGGCGUCGACGGGUAGCCGGCCUGAGAGGGUGACCGGCCACACUGGGACUGAGACACGGCCCAGACUCCUACGGGAGGCAGCAGUGGGGAAUAUUGCACAAUGGGCGGAAGCCUGAUGCAGCAACGCCGCGUGAGGGAUGACGGCCUUCGGGUUGUAAACCUCUUUUAGCAGGGAAGAAGCGUGAGUGACGGUACCUGCAGAAAAAGCACCGGCUAACUACGUGCCAGCAGCCGCGGUAAUACGUAGGGUGCAAGCGUUAUCCGGAAUUAUUGGGCGUAAAGAGCUCGUAGGCGGUUUGUCGCGUCUGCUGUGAAAUCUGGGGGCUCAACUCCCAGCCUGCAGUGGGUACGGGCAGACUAGAGUGCGGUAGGGGAGAUUGGAAUUCCUGGUGUAGCGGUGGAAUGCGCAGAUAUCAGGAGGAACACCGAUGGCGAAGGCAGAUCUCUGGGCCGUAACUGACGCUGAGGAGCGAAAGGGUGGGGAGCAAACAGGCUUAGAUACCCUGGUAGUCCACCCCGUAAACGUUGGGAACUAGUUGUGGGGUCCAUUCCACGGAUUCCGUGACGCAGCUAACGCAUUAAGUUCCCCGCCUGGGGAGUACGGCCGCAAGGCUAAAACUCAAAGGAAUUGACGGGGACCCGCACAAGCGGCGGAGCAUGCGGAUUAAUUCNAUGCAACGCGAANAACCUUACCAAGGCUUGACAUAUAC
rnacentral:rRNA from 1 species